rnacentral:ncRNA from 1 species
CGUCGUCAUAUAGAUGGGACUUAUGCGGAAUAACCACCGCGUACCCAGGAGAACUGGGAUUGGACUCCUAAAAAGAGGAGAAAACAAAUG